rnacentral:rRNA from 1 species
CUAGUUGGUGAGGUAACGGCUCACCAAGGCUACGAUCAGUAUCCGGCCUGAGAGGGCGGACGGACACACUGGGACUGAGACACGGCCCAGACUCCUACGGGAGGCAGCAGUGGGGAAUUGUUCGCAAUGGGCGCAAGCCUGACGACGCAACGCCGCGUGGAGGAUGAAGACCUUCGGGUCGUAAACUCCUUUCGAUCGAGACGAACGGCCUCCGGGUGAACAGCCCGGGGGAGUGACGGUACCGAGAGAAGAAGCCCCGGCUAACUCCGUGCCAGCAGCCGCGGUAAUACGGGGGGGGCAAGCGUUGUUCGGAAUUACUGGGCGUAAAGGGCUCGUAGGCGGCCAACUAAGUCAGACGUGAAAUCCCUCGGCUUAACCGGGGAACUGCAUCUGAUACUGGAUGGCUUGAGAUCGGGAGAGGGAUGCGGAAUUCCAGGUGUAGCGGUGAAAUGCGUAGAUAUCUGGAGGAACACCUGUGGCGAAAGCGGCGCACUGGACCAUAACUGACGCUGAGGCGCGAAAGCUAGGGGAGCAAACAGGAUUAGAUACCC